AUUGAACGCUGGCGGCGGGCCUAACACAUGCAAGUCGAACGAAUGGCGGACGGGUGGGUAAGGUCGGGGAAAGUGGCUGACGGAGGCGGAUGAGUACUGGAACAGGUAGCUAAUACCGCCUACGAACAGAUGUGCUCAGGUGGGAUUAGGGUGUUGGUGGGGUAACGGCUUACCAAGGCGACGAUCCCUAGCUGGUCUGAGAGGAUGACCAGCCACACUGGAACUGAUACACGGUCCAGACUCCUACGGGAGGCAGCAGUGGGGAAUAUUGCACAAUGGGCGAAAGCCUGAUGCAGCCAUGCCGCGUGUAUGAAGAAGGCCUUCGGGUUGUAAAGUACUUUCAGCGGGGAGGCGUUACCCGCAGAAGAAGCACCGGCUAACUCCGUGCCAGCAGCCGCGGUAAUUC
rnacentral:rRNA from 1 species